UUAUUUGAUAUUGGUUUCUAAAGUCACCAUGGCACAAUUUCCCGUCUUCAAGCUUCGUUUGUCUCUUAUUUAUGCUGUCUUUCUGAGCGAAAUGGAGUUCCUUCUUAAUUUGGGCCUUAUCAAAAUAUAUCCUACUUAAGCUUUCUUCUGGAGCCUUGUACUAUCUCCAACUGCAGCAAUUUUCUUCCAUUAUCUCGAAAGGAUCUUCUAUGCAACAUUAUUUGACUCCCUUUGCCGAAAAAAUAAGAAAGGAAUAAGAGGUCAAGAUAUUAUGAUUGACAGCAGGCCAGUCGCAAAAAAAAAUGAGACAAAAUUAAGGCUCGUGAAUCUUCGGACUGAAAAGUUAAGGAUACCAUCUAUUACAUAUUAUUUCAAUUGGGCUAUUUUGUAAACCUUAUCCCGGGUGCGACAUCAACCACUGGUUUCCAGCGGGCACAAUUGAAAUUAUACGAAAGAUGUUAAGAAAUCAGGAGAAAUAUAAGCUGGAGAAGAUAGAAAAUCGAGAAAAGUUCUGAAACAAGGAAGACCGUAAUCGUUUUUGUAACAAGUUAUCGGUGAGUUGAAUAAGAUUGACCUAAAUUAUUUCACGAGACAUCGGAGCGUGCUAUUACCAUAGAUGACAAUUUUGGGCACAUUCUUAUUGAACUCAUGGGAAGGUUUUAAAAAUGGUAACAAAAACACAUGCAACGAGGAUGAAUUUAUGUAAAUACAACAGAAUUAUCAUCACAAAAAGAAGAAGUUAACAUCAUAACUACCGAUGAUUUGAAUAAGAUCUGACUGAAAUCACAAUAGCCUAUAUCAAACAAUCAAUUGAGACCACCUAUGAUAAUGCUGAUUUCAGUUUUAGCUGAUUUAGAUCACGGAAAGGAAUUAUCGUUCAAAGGACAGAGCAAGACAUCUUAUGUUAUCGGUGAUUUGAAUAAGAUGCUAUUGAAAUCAUACACACACAUUCUUCAAAGGCACCGUGAAGCAUCAAAUAAUGAUGAUUUCACAGACAUCUUAUUUGAAACAUGGAAAGGAAUAACAUACUUGUUCAGACAUGCUUUUAACGCGGUAAAAACUUUCUAAAGCAUCUGAAUAAGUUUACGAGACAGAUAUGAAGCCACAGUGAAAGUAAAGAAAUUUAGAUCCGGAUGGACCACGAAAUAGCGCUCGUUUAAUCGAUGUAUUUCAUGAGGACUGCGUAAUAAGAGCUUUUUGUUUUGGCUUAAUAAAAACCAUGGAAAGGAUAUAAAUAUAGGAAAUGCCUCGAAGAAUCUUCAGCUUUUGCCUUUGAUUUUUCUCGGUGUAUUGCAUUCGUCGAUGGAACGACACCGACGAAUUCACUGCAACCAGGGAAAUCAUGUUCUUGGCGAGAACAGAUACUUGACGAGACCAUCCAGUGAUUUGUGUUGUGUCAGUGCGUCGAGGUAGACUUUUGGCGAAAUUUUCGGACUAUGAUCAGAAAAAAAUACCAUUACUGAUAUGAAUAGGCGCAAAAGUGAAACAUUUGCUUGCAGGCAUCGGAUCAGGAUUGACUUUUAUAUUUUUGAUCAGGUAUUUUUGUUGUCGUGAUUUUUACAAUUUUAGAUUGUUUGAGUGCAGUAUAUUUUAGCUCGGCAGAUUUGUCCGACCCGCUGGACAUUUAACUGUGUGCUCAACUUUUUGUCAGAUAACAUCUUUUAUGACCGGGUCAGACCAGUUUUCUGUGCUUUACUUAAUUAAUUAAUUGGAUUCAGAUGCGUCUUAUUGAAAUUAUUUGUCAUAUUUUUAACUAGUUUUAAGAACUUUGUAAAUUAAUUUUGUCUUGUACCGAUCGACCACUUUAAAAUGUUUCUAUAAUCUUGAUCUUCCAAGAUUUUGCUUUUCGUCAUAACAAUAUUAGACCCCGUUCCUUUAACAUUAGCGUAAAUUUAGGCAGGGUGAAAGAGCAGGCUCAUUUUCUAGUAAGCUGACCAUGAAUGUGUCCUUACGUUCUUGUCCUGCCUCUAAUUUUCGCGCGGCUGAGGCACCCGCGCGCAAGCUCGGCCAUACUUGUAGCGUUGUGUGAUUCUCGGCACAGUCCGCGUCGGGGCGCUGCGGAGUGCGAAGUGGAGCGAGCGAAGCGAAACGAGGCUGAGAAACCCAGUGUCUUGACAUUAUAUAUCCUCCCUUGGCACGGGUGGCUCUGUAUAUUUCGAGAAAACAAUAACACUUUGAUACGCCGCUGGCUUCCACGUCGCAGCGCGCUAACAGCAUCGAGUUGACGAACUCUGCGACGACUGUCUUGUUCGCGUCGCCGAAAUCCUUUAGAUUCGGUACGUAGUACGUCGAGCACAGCCUUGAGAAUCUUGAUGCCGCCGUGAUUCCUUUCAACUUGAAUGCCAAACAGUUGGAAGAGUUGACUUCGAUUUUUUAAUUGAAAUUUAAAUUUGUGAGCACGCUUUUAAAACCUCAAGGUUGCUGAAGUUAAAGCGAAUAACCGCUUCCGCUUCGCUUUCCGUUUCUGUACUGGCCACUACAGGUUUUUUUAAUGCGGCGAAAGGCUGUGUAUCCGUGUUGUCGUAUUACUCGUAUUGAUAUAUAUCGUCACCAUCUUGAAUGCGUAUACGUUCUUAGUGGAAAACGGUAACAUAGCACCUUUAAAAGCGUGUAAAAUUUCUAAUGCCUUUAUUUCCAAAUUCGAUACGGAAUUACUUUGAGAGCAGUGCCGUAGUCGACUCAGACAUUUGCGUCAGCUGCGAAUAUUGGAAACGAGAUGCAUAAUUACACCUUAGGUGACAAUGGAGAUUAAUCGGUUUCGAUUCUGCUAUUUAUUUCUUAAGGAGUCACUGUUCUGUAGCUAAAUCGCAGAACCUAACUUAAGAUCCAAACGCCUCUCGGUGUCGUUAAGGUCGUGGGUUGUUCCGAGUCCAAAAGUGCUUGGUCCGUAUAGAGGCGCACCAGCGCUUCCAUGCCAAGCCGGGCUCCUCGAGGAACGUGAGCGACUACUCGCCUCGUUUCUUAUGAUGAGUCGAAGAAACACUGUAUCAUCUUUACUAUCUCUAUGCAAUCGCGCGUACAAGCAAACAUCUUUCCUGGAUGUGCGAAAAGUUUAUCUCUACAAACGAUCAUUCGCACUGUGACUCGCAGCUCUACGUGAUGAAGGACUUUUCUCCUAAAGCACAUGAGUUUUGGGUAAAGUUGCUAGUUACAAAUAUUCUCUGAAAUAUUUCAGACACGACAGCUCCCGACCAAUUUUACCCAUAAACAUGUGUUUUAAGAAAUAAAUCUGUCUACUUCCAGUUUUUUUAGUCUAUAGUGGUGUGUCGGACGCCAAAGAUUUCCUAUUUUUUUUUGGGUUUUCGUGUUUUGACGUUUGGUUUUGGAAAUUGUCAUUAUUUUUAUAGUUGCGUUUUGGUCAAGCGUAUUUUAAAGCAGAUAGGUACUAGAACCGACAUAAGAUUUUGAAAAAGUUAAGAACGGAAUAUUAUGAUGGGUUUAGUUAGUUUUGAUGUAUUUAUGUAUUCAGGUUUGAUGUGAUUAUUUCCAUUCUGUGUCCUGUGUUAGGUUUGAUGUAAUAAGUUUCAGGCUAGUCAUCUUAAAUUAACGGUUAGACAUAUGGCAAAUCCGUGACAUUAUGAAGCCCAGCAUCUUAAUUUUACGAUUUUUUGUCAUCGUCCGCUUUAUUAGGUGUAAAUUUGUUUGAAUAUUGUUAGCACGCACGCAAUUAUCCAAUGCAUUUCAUUGUAGAAAUCAGUCCCAGUUUUUUAUAUAUUUUUUAUUAUUAUAUUGCGACUAUUGUCGUGAAGAUUCCUCUUUAGUUAGUUUUGGAGUUUUUAUAAAAAUAUA